rnacentral:lncRNA from 1 species
UAGAACCGUUUACUAACAAUACUUUAUUUGUUAUUGCAUGUACAGAGCGGCUCAGGACAUUGAUUCCGGAAAUCCGCCUAGUAAACCACCAGUGCCGGUUGCACCAGCGAUUACAACUCCUCUUCAAAAUAACAUCAAUCGAAAAUUGAAUGGAUUCUUAAGCCUUAGGACUCCUCUAAUUGGGUAUGUCUCUGUUUGUGUGUUCAUUGUUUCCAUCGAUUUCAAAUACCGAAUAGAUUAAACUACUCGACAAAAUCAAUCUUUUAAAAAAUGUACCUGUUGGAGGAUGGCGCUCCCAACUUUCAGAGUAUUUUUGGCUUCAGACUCUAAAAAGAAGUUCUUCCAAGGAAAAAUAGUAUUAUCAAACCAUUUCUAAGCCCCAUAUCUUUCAUAAAACGUUUUUCUGGAUCGAAGCCUCAAAAUCGUGUGGAGUAGUGUUAUUAGCGCUUAUAUAUGUUCAUAUAUCUAUUAUUGUAUUAUUGUAUGUUUUAUUCCUACUACUAUCUUCCCAAUGUAUUUACAAAUUCAUAUUUUUUAGUGGCUCGGCACCUACGCAAACCAAAGCACAAAAUGCUUCUACCGGGGGAAAUACAAAUGAUGGUACCUCAAAAGAUUCGGCGGUAAGCAGAAGUCAGACCCUCUCUCUUAUCAUAGUAAUUGUAGAACAGAAAUAACAGAUCAAAUGUCAAAGAACACCACAGGUGUCUCAGUUAUUUUAUUUAUUAUAUACACACUUCUCUCCAUCUUAGAAUAAAAGUAUUUCCAUGACAGACAUGUACCUGGACAGCACGGAUUCCAGUGAAAAUGUCGGGCAAAUACAUUUCUCUUUGGAAUAUGAUUUUCAAAAUACAACAUUAAUUUUAAAAGUUCUUCAAGGAAAAGAACUGCCAGCUAAAGAUUUAAGUGGGACUUCGGACCCUUAUGUUCGUGUAACCUUGCUUCCAGACAAGAAACACCGAUUGGAAACAAAAAUAAAACGUAGAACAUUAAAUCCGCGAUGGAACGAAACAUUUUAUUUUGAGGGAUUUCCGAUACAAAAACUUCAGUCACGUGUGAGAAUAAUUAAUAUUAUCUUUCUCUACAUGAUCUUUAAAUACUUAUAAUAAUAAAUCGACAUUAACAUAAAAUUGAUACAGGUAUUACACUUACAUGUUUUUGAUUACGACCGGUUCUCACGGGAUGACUCUAUAGGAGAAGUAUUUCUUCCUUUAUGUCAGGUAAACAUUUUAAAUUCAUCUGAACCAAAACUCUGUAUACUUUGUAUUUUAUUUUGUUUAUAAAGCUCUCACAUACCGUUUACAUUUAUGUUACUACUUACAUGUUUCCACAAAACAGUUUUUAAAAUUUCUAUUUCAAAAUUCAAUUAAAAUAUUUAAACCAAAUUGUAACAGGCUAAGCUUUAAAUCAUAAAUAUUCAUGUAUAUGUAUAUAUGUAUGUACAUACAUGUACUUAAACACUUUGUCUUCUUAGGUUGAUUUUGCCGGUAAGCAGUCAUUUUGGAAGGCAUUAAAACCACCAGCAAAGGAUAAAUGUGGGGAACUUCUGUCAUCGCUUUGCUAUCACCCCUCAAACUCUAUUUUGACGUUGACAUUAAUCAAAGCGAGGAACCUAAAAGCUAAGGAUAUAAACGGAAAAUCAGGAAAGAAUUAUUCUCGCGCAAGAUUGAAAAUAAUAUAAAAUAAACUUUGUCUUUUAAUUAAAUUCCUCUUUUGACGUGUUCGGUAACCAAUGUUUUUUUUCAAUUAACUUUAGAUCCCUAUGUUAAAGUUUGGCUACAGUUUGGAGACAAGCGAGUGGAGAAAAGAAAAACACCUAUAUUUACAUGUACAUUAAAUCCAGUGUUUAAUGAAUCAUUCAGUUUCAACGUUCCAUGGGAAAAAAUAAGAGAAUGCUCUUUGGAUGUUAUGGUGAUGGAUUUUGAUAACAUUGGCCGGAAUGAGUUAAUAGGACGAAUCCUAUUAGCCGGUAAGAGCAAUUGUCAAUUAAUUGACAACACAAAAUAUUAAAAUAUUUUUGUUUUUCCACAAAUAUUGUACAUAUGUAUUUAGGAAAGAAUGGUUCUGGGGCGUCGGAAACUAAACAUUGGCAGGACAUGAUCUCAAAGCCCAGACAAACAGUAGUACAAUGGCAUCGCUUAAAACCUGAAUAAAUUUAAGAUUUAACAAUCAAUUUCAGCAUAUGAUAACAACAGUGUAUGUAUUUAUAUAUAUGUAUGUACCACUAUCAUUCCAUAUGCAAAAACACACACAAUUAGCAGUAUUUAAUACAGUCUGCAGAAAACAUAAGUAUAAUCGCAUUGCGCAUUGGUUGGAUAUUUGAAAUUUAAUACCGAGCGGGAUACUACAGAAAAUUUAUCUAACUUCACUAAUUGCUCUAAGGUUUCAAAGCCUCAAAAACCUCUAUGAGCAAUACUCAGUUUUAUAAUUACUUGUCUAACUUUAUAUAUGUAUGUACACGGGUUAUAGUAUUUGUAUUUGUGCAUGCAUGUACUUAUAAAUACCCUUCUGGGUUCUGAUUAUUGUUUACAGUAUAUCAAGGUUCGUUGAAUUGUCUUUAAAUUAAUAUUCAUUUUCAAUUGCAUGAAAAAGAAGCUCGGUAAAGAUCCAUCGAACUGAAUUCUUUGUUUAAAAGGGGUAAUAAUUUGUCCUAAUAAGCUAAAUUAAUGAUUGAUAGCAAUAAUAAUAACAAUUGUUUCAUCAAUUUGUAAUACAGAAAUAGACCCAC